GUCCUCCUACGGGGGGCAGCAGUGGGGGAUAUUGCACAAUGGGGGGAGCCCUGAUGCAGCGACGCCGCGUGGGUGAAGAAGCGCCUCGGCGCGUAAAGCCCUGUCAGCAGGGAAGAAAAUGACGGUACCUGAAGAAGAAGCCCCGGCUAACUACGUGCCAGCAGCCGCGGUAAUACGUAGGGGGCAAGCGUUAUCCGGAUUUACUGGGUGUAAAGGGGGCGCAGACGGCGAUGCAAGGCAGGAGUGAAAGCCCGGGGCCCAACCCCGGGACGGCUCUUGGAACUGCGGGGCUG
rnacentral:rRNA from 1 species